GUUGAUCUUUGGUCAAAAAGACAUUGUACUUGUAUUCUGUUCUUCAUUUUGGCAGGACAUUGGGCAUGAAUUGAUGUUCUUCAUUUGGAAAGGCAUUGUUCUUGAAUUUGUGGUCUUCCUUUGGAAAUUCAUUGUUCAUGUAUUGAUGUUCUUCAUUUGACAGGAAAUUGUGCUUGAUUUGCUGAUUUUUAUGCAGAAAGACAUUGUAUUUGUAUUCUGUUCUUCGUUUGGAAAUGCAUUGUUCUUGUAUUGAUGUUCUUCAUUUGACAGGACAUUGGGCAUGAAUUGCUGUACUUCAUCCAGAAAGACAUGGUGCUUGAAUGUUUGUUCUCUAUUUGGAAGAGCAUUAUGCUUGAACGUGUAUUCUACAUUUGGAAAUGCAUUGUUCUUGUAUUGCGGUUCUACAUUUGGCUCUUCAAUGGGCAUGAAUUGCUG
rnacentral:lncRNA from 1 species